rnacentral:rRNA from 1 species
ACAAAAACAUCUUUUCUUGUUAGUUUUUGAAGUAUAGCCUGCCCACUGACUUAGGUUGAAGGGCCGCGGUAUUUUGACCGUGCAAAGGUAGCAUAAUCAUUAGUUCUUUAAUUGUGAUCUGGUAUGAAUGGCUUGACGAGACAUGGGCUGUCUUAAUAGUAUUGUUUUGUUGAAUUUAGUUUUUGAGUUAAAAUUCUUAGAUGUUUUUAUGGGACGAGAAGACCCUAUAGAGUUUGACAAUUUUCUUGCUAGUGCGGGGAUAAGGUUUGUUGUAAUUGUUUUAGUAGGCUGAUUGUUUUGUUGGGGUGAUGGGAGGAAUGUUCUUAACUCCUCUUUUUUUGUUAUAUUUAUGUAUAUAUUUUUGAUCCAUUAAUUUUGAUUAUAAGAUUAAAUUACCUUAGGGAUAACAGCGUUAUCUUCCUUGAGAGUUCUUAUUGGCGGGAAGGUUUGCGACCUCGAUGUUGGAUUAAGAUGAAUUUUCGGUGCAGGAGCUGAAGUGAUUAG